rnacentral:rRNA from 1 species
GACGAACGCUGGCGGCGUGCUUAACACAUGCAAGUCGAACGGCAACGCCCUGCUUUUGUGGGGUGCUCGAGUGGCGAACGGGUGAGUAACACGUGAGUAACCUGCCCUAGACUUUGGGAUAACUUCAGGAAACUAGGGUUAAUAUCGGAUCGGAGCCCCCGCUGCAUGGUGGGGGUUGGAAAUUCUCGCCGGUCGGGGGUGGACUCGCGGCUUAUCAGCUUGUUGGUGGGGUAGUGGCUUACCAACCCGUUCACCGGUCGCGGGCCUGUGUGAGUGACCGGCCACAUUGGGACUGAGGUGAGGCACAGACGCGGAAGGGAGGAAGCAGUGGGGAAGAUUGAACAAGGGGCGGAAGGCGGAUGCAGAAACGCCGCGUGCGGGAAGGCGGCCUUCGGGGUGUAGAACGCUAGCGGCUGAGACGAAGGGUGAGUGGCGGGAAUGGGAAGAGUAGGAACGGGUAACUACGUG